rnacentral:lncRNA from 1 species
UUGGGUGUGCGACCUGAGCAGGGACGUGACCAUCUUGCACAUAUACAUUCUGAAGUGUGCGACCUGGGCUUGGGAAUGGGAAAGGAGCUCAACUGAGCCGCACAAGAACAUGCAAGAUAAAGUGCUAGAUGGAUGUGUGGCUGAGAAAGGAGUUGACCAUCUAGUCUUAAGCGCCUUUUGGUGCGAGAUGGGUGUGCGGGUCAGCCAUGGACGUGGCCAUCUCACACACCAGCCACCAGACCCAUCUGAGCCAGGUCAGUACCCAGUUUGUUCUGGGCUGACCGGGUCCAUUACACUUAGUAUAAAUACCUUUUUGGGAGAAAACCCUAAGGAUCUUACCUUUUACCUUUCAUUCUCUCUUAGUUUUCUUUUCCCCUUUUGUUAAAAACGAGUUUGAUCAAGAGAUAUCUAAGGGAUUUAAUCAUCUUAAAGCUGUUUCGUAUCAUCUCAUCUUCUUAUCUUUGCU